CCUACGGGAGGCAGUAGUGGGGAAUAUUGGGCAAUGGACGCAAGUCUGACCCAGCAACGCCGCGUGAAGGAAGAAGGCUUUCGGGUUGUAAACUUCUUUUUAGGGGGAAGAGCAGAAGACGGUACCCCUUGCAUAAGCCACGGCUAACUACGUGCCAUCAGCCGCGGCCAUACGGAGGUGGCAAGCGUUGUCCGGAUUUACUGGGUGUAAAGGGCGUGCAGCCGGAGAGACAAGUCAGAUGUGAAAUCCACGGGCUCAACCCGUGAACUGCAGUUGAAACUGUUUCCCUGGAGUGUCGGAGAGGUAGUCGGAAUGCGUGGUGUAGCGGUGAAAUGCGUAGAUAUAAGGCAGAACACCGAUGGCGAAGGCAGAUUACUGGACGGUGACUGACGGUGAGGCGCGAAAGCGUGGGGAGCAAACAGGAUUAGAUACCCCAGUAGUC
rnacentral:rRNA from 1 species